rnacentral:misc_RNA from 1 species
AAAGUCGUAACAAGGUCUCCGUUGGUGAACCAGCGGAGGGAUCAUUACUGAGUGUAAAAACUCCCAAACCCAUUGUGAACAUACCACUGUUGCUUCGGCGGAUGCGCCCCGGGCGCGCCCUCACAGGCGUGCCCCGGACCAAGGCGCCCGCCGGGGGACCGAAACUCUUGUUUUCUUACAGAAUCUCUGAGUCUGAUUUUAAAUCAAAUCAAAACUUUCAACAACGGAUCUCUUGGCUCUA